CGCGAAUAGCUCAUUACAACAGCUAACAAAUCUACUUGAUCUUGACACAAUCCUACUUGGAUAACUGUGGUAAUUCUAGAGCUAAUACAUGCAUUAAAGCUCUGACCUUCGGGGAAGAGUGCAUUUAUUAGAACAAAACCAAGCGGCUUCGGCUGUUUUCGGUUGACUCAUAGUAACUGAGCUGAUCGCAUGGUCUUGCACCGGCGACGUGUCUUUCGAGUAUCUGCCGUAUCAACUUUCGAUGGUAGUGUAUCUGACUACCAUGGUGAUCACGCGUAACGGAGAAUAAGGGUUCGACUCCGGAGAGUUCGCCUGGGAAAUCGCGAACACAUCUAAGGAAGGCAGCAGGCGCGAAAAUUACCCACUCUCAGCACGAGGAGGUAGUGACGAAAAAUAACGAGACCGUUCUCUUUCGAGGCCGGUCAUCGGAAUGGGUACAAUUUAAACCCUUUAACGAGUAUCUAUGAGAGGGCAAGUCUGGUGCCAGCAGCCGCGGUAAUUCCAGCU
rnacentral:rRNA from 1 species